rnacentral:tRNA from 1 species
GGACUUUUAGUAUAUUUUAGUAUAUUUGAUUGCAGAUCGGGUGGUUUUGGGUCUU